UACGAAGGGGGCUAGCGUUACUCGGAAUGACUGGGCGUAAAGGGCGCGUAGGCGGUUUGCUUAGUUAGGCGUGAAAUUCCUGGGCUCAACCUGGGGGCUGCGCUUAAUACAGGCAGACUAGAGUGUGAAAGAGGGUCGUGGAAUUUCCAGUGUAGAGGUGAAAUUCGUAGAUAUUGGAAGGAACACCGGUGGCGAAGGCGGCGACCUGGUUCAUUACUGACGCUGAGGCGCGAAAGCGUGGGGAGCAAACAGG
rnacentral:rRNA from 1 species